AGAAUCAACGCUGGCGGCGUGCCUAACACAUGCAAGUCGCACGAGAAAGGGGAGCAAUCCCUGAGUACAGUGGCGCACGGGUGAGUAACACGUGAAUCAUCUACCUCCGAGUGGGGAAUAACUGAGAGAAAUCUUAGCUAAUACCGCAUAACACUUACGAGUCAAAGCAGCAAUGCGCUUGGAGAGGAGUUCGCGGCAGAUUAGUUAGUUGGCGGGGUAAUGGCCCACCAAGACGAUGAUCUGUAUCCGGCCUGAGAGGGCGCACGGACACACUGGAACUGAAACACGGUCCAGACUCCUACGGGAGGCAGCAGUGGGGAAUUUUGCGCAAUGGGGGAAACCCUGACGCAGCAACGCCGCGUGGAGGAUGAAGCCCCUUGGGUGUAAACUCCUUCGAUCGGGAAGAUAAUGACGGUACCGAUAUAAGAAGCCCGGCUAACUUCGCGCCAGCAGCCGC
rnacentral:rRNA from 1 species